rnacentral:rRNA from 1 species
CCUACGGGAGGCAGCAGUCGGGAAUUUUGCGCAAUGGGGGAAACCCUGACGCAGCAAUACCGCGUGUGGGAUGAAGGCCUUCGGGUCGUAAACCACUUUUCUCGGGGACGAUAAUGACGGUACCCGAGGAAUAAGCCACGGCUAACUACGUGCCAGCAGCCGCGGUAAUACGUAGGUGGCAAGCGUUGUCCGGAUUUACUGGGCGUAAAGCGCGCGCAGGCGGUGAAUGAAGUCGAAAGUGAAAGCCCCGGGCUCAACUCGGGAACAGCUUUCGAAACCAGUUCACUUGAAGGUGGAAGAGGGAAGUGGAAUUCCGAGUGUAGCGGUGGAAUGCGCAGAUAUUCGGAGGAACACCAGAGGCGAAGGCGACUUCCUGGUCCAAUCUUGACGCUGAGGCGCGAAAGCUAGGGGAGCAAACAGGAUUAGAUAUCCUGGUAGUCCUAGCUGUAAACGAUGGAUACUAGGUGUUGGAGGUUUUAACCCCUCCGGUGCCGCAGCUACGACAUAGUAUCCGUCCGUCGGGUAGGUACGGCCGCGACGGACGUAAACCUACAACGAAGUAGUACGGCGUGAGACGUGCCGACGGACGACGACGAGGGAGGUAGG